CGGUAGCUGCGCGAUGCGUCAGGCCUCACAAUCCCUGGGGCUAUAAACGAUCCUUCGGGAGCUGUCUCUGCCGGGACCCUGGUUCCGGUACGCGGCGCCCACCUGCUUUGCAGGCCACAGAGGAUUACUACGGCCAACGGUCGUCGUGGCGCCGUU
rnacentral:other from 1 species